rnacentral:lncRNA from 1 species
AAUUUCUCUCUGUGGCUAGUUACAUGAGUACGAGGAUGCGUGUCGUUAAAUUAGCUUUUUUAUUGGUUUUGAUCAUGGCAUCAGGUUAGAAAUAAUUUUGUUUUACAUUCAACCUCCAAUUUGUCUUGCCUAUUGUAAGAAUCAAGUUUCCAUAUAAUAAAUUUUUUCCUACUCCGCUCUAUUUAAACCUUCAAAUUUUACUUCAAUUAUAUUUAUGUAUAAUACAUUAUUUUGUGUUCAUGUACAACUUGUUUAACUACAGAUAUGUGCAAAGCAUCAAAUGCUCGUGAUGGCAAUGUGCAAAUUCACUAUGUGCCUGUUCGGUGUUCCUCAGACCAACGCUGUCGAAGGUAUUUUGGUCCAAUAUGCAAAUGUGUAAGGGGAUACUGUCGUUGCCUAGAAGCAAAACUGUUUUACAAAUAUCGCAAGCAGACAUCCCAAGAAUGAGUACUAAAACCUUGUAAUGCAAUCAAAGAGUGUGGGUAAAGAAUCAAGACCAGGAAGAGAAUAUGAAUGAAUUACAUGAUAUUGAAUUAAGUUGAUUGAAUAGAAAAACUAUAAUGAAG